AGGAGGCUCUUCAUGGUGGGGAUGACCUUUUGAUAGAUUAUAAAUCGCUAAAACAGUGCAAGUAGCAACACCUAAAUAUGUUAUCUUUUCCCAUUUUGCCGUUUCAUCUGCAAAUAUAUAUAUAUAUAUAUAUAUAUAUAAUUCGUGUUAAAACAAUAUAUAUAUAUGAUUUUUCCAAGCCGUUUUAAGAUUUUCUUUUCCCUAAGAUCCAAAACUACGAUUCUUUUAAUAAUCUAAAUUUUAUUUUACUUACUCUAUUUCUAACAUAGACUCAAUUAAAAUCAAAAGGUUAAACUAGAUAAUAAAACCCUAAAGUAAAAAAAAUAGAACAACUCAAAAUAUAGGAAAUCAAUAUAUUAAUAAUAUAAAAUUGAUCCAAAUCAGAUAAAAUAUUAAAAAAAUAGAAGAAAGGUUGCAUACAAGCAUCAUCGUGAUGAGAAGAGGAAGCGAAGCCACGCUUGGGAGGAGCAGUAGGACGAGAGCCGCCGCGAAGGGCUGCUCGGAGGAGACCAGAUCGCACACUCGCCAUCGCCAUUUUUAUCGAUUUCUUUUUUCUCUACGACUUGAAAC
rnacentral:lncRNA from 1 species